CGGUAUAUGCGGAAGUGUGCACAAUCUCGCCCAUGCGCACGCACAGUCCGGUGCGAGCGAUCCCAGCCCCUCGCAAGUGCCGUGCUAGAGUGGGCAUCCAGCCUGGAAGGAGGAUGCCUGCGCAGCACAUCUGGCCACCGGUGCGCCUCCAGAGGUCCAGGCUACCCUAUGCCUGCUCUACGCACGGCAACCAUCAGGCCUCUGCACAGCCCAGUUCGCCCUGUGCCAGCACUCUCCUUGUACAGGGCUGCUAUUACCAUCCAGCCAGGAUGGGUUGUGCAGGAGGUGCGCUCCAGACCUCCAGUGCUUACCCAUGGCCCAGUGCACCCUGUUCCCUCUCCUUGCACUAGCCCUGAGGUGCGUGUCUCCAGUCUGGUGCCUCCAAAGCCAGCACUACGCACCAGGCUUCCAUUGCGUCAUCCCAGUCCAGUACGUCCUGUUUCCAUUCCUUGCUCUAGCCUUGGGGUGCAUGUCUCCAGUCUGGUACCUCCAGUACCAGCCCCACACACUAGGCUUCCAGUGCGUCAGCCCAGUCCAACUCGUCCUGUUCCUGCUCCUCGCACUAGCCCUGAGGUGUAUGUUUCCAGUCUGGCACAUCCAGUACCAGCACCACGCAUCAGGCUUCCAGUGCGUCAGCCCAGUCCCGAACUUCCGACGACAGUGCCCAGUCCAGAGUGUCCGUCCAGAGUGUCCGACGACAGUGCCCAGUCCAGAGUGUCCGACGACAGUGCCCAGUCCAGAGUGUCCGACGACAGUGCCCAGUCCAGAGUGUCCAGCAACAGUGCUCCGUCCAGAGUACCCGGCAACAGUACCCCGUCCAGAGUAUCCGGCAACAGUGUGCAGUCCGGAACCGAGUGAGACGGCCUACAGUCCGGAACCGGCGCAGCCAAAGUCGCCCUUCAGCCCAAGGUCUCCAGCGACGUGCAUCAGCCCGAGGUCUCCAGCAACGCGCAUCAGCCUGAGGCCUUCAGCGAUGCGCCAUAGCCCAGAUACUUCGGGAAGGGUAAUAAUGAAUUAUUUAGCGGGGGUGGACAGGUUAGGUGGGGGAGUAAGGCCGGAGCUUGAGCCACCUCCAUUGUAGGUGGGUUGGGAGGGGGGUGUAGCACAGGAACCGUCGGUGACGGUGGCCACCCUCCCUUCCCUCUCUUUAGUUUGGGAUUCUUUUUGUUUUGGGGUUAUUUUUUGUGUUUUUUGUGCGAGGUGCCUUCGGGGUCUGCAUCCUUUGGGGGGG
rnacentral:lncRNA from 1 species